GCGCCGCUAGCUCAAUUGGCAGAGCAACUGACUCUUAAUCAGUAGGUUCCAGGUUCGAUUCCUGGGCGGCGCA
rnacentral:tRNA from 1 species